UCCACCCACCCACCCAUCCAUCCAUCCACCCACCCACCCACAAAUCCACACAUCCACAAUCUUCCUGUCCACCUGUCCAUCCAUCUCCCCACCCUUCCAUACAUCCACCCCCCCACCCACCCACUCCUCCCUCCCUCCCUCCAUUCCUGGUCUCCCUUUGGUGUCAGUGCCGUAGCAGAGCAGCAGUUCCACCACCCAAGGGUUAAGGGAUCGGCGUUGCCACGGCGUUGGUGGCACUUGGUGGCACUCGCCCUCCUGAGCCCAAUAAAAGCCACCCCUUGGCCUGGUGCAGAGCAGUGCCGUGCAGGGAUCGGUGCCACGAUGCUGCGCGUCCCGGUGCUGCUGCUGCUGGCGGCCCUCACUGCCACCACCCAGGGACAGAGUGAGUGCCACUGCUGCCACCCCACCCCAGUGCCACAUCCUGGGCUCAGGGUGACAGGAUUUGGGGUUGGGGGGGGGUUGUGUUCUCCCAUGGGAAUGGGUCAGGGGUGCUGGGGGGGUCGGCACCUCGCUGUCCCCACUGCCCACAGUGCCCCCAGCACCCCAAGCUCCCUGCACCCAGGAUGGAGAGUGCUGUCCCCUGUGGGAUAGGGGUCCCCUGAGGCUGUCACCAUUGUCCUCAUCCCCAUCCAUGUCCCCACUGCUGCCCCCGACCUCACUCCUGUCCCUGUCCCUAUUGCCAUCACCAUCCCUGACCCCACUGCUGACCCCACUGAUAUCCCUAUCCCAACCACCUGCCUCCAUCCCUACUGCUCUCCCUUUCCCCAUUGCUGUCCCGACUCCUUCCCUACCCCCGUUCCCAUUCCCUGUUCCUACACCUGUCCCCAUCCCUGUCCCCAUCCCUUCUCCUGUCCCAAUCCCUAUUGCUGCCCACACCCCGUUCCUGUCCCAUCCCCGUCCCUGACCCCAUCCCAGUUCCCUGACCCCAUCCGUGUCCCCGUCCCCUUCUCCCGUCCCCACCCCCAUCGCUGUCCCCAUCCCCGUCCCUCAACUCAUCGCUGUCCCCACCGCCACCGCUGCCCGUCCCCACGUCUGUCCCCAUUCCCUCCCCUCGCCAUCCGCGUCCACAUCCCCACUCGUGUCCCCGCUGCCCCCAGCCGCGGGCUCCCAGCAGCUGCAGCCGUGGCUGAUCGGUCUCACGGCGGUGGUGGUUUUCCUAUUCGUGGUUUUCGUGCUGCUGUUGGCGGGGCGGCUUUGGCGACUGCGGACGCGCAGAGAACACGAGGACGACUCGGAGAAGCGAUCGACCCACAGCAUGGAGCGUGCAGCCUACAUCAACGCCGCGGCCGAGAGAGACAGCGACGACGAACGGGAGAAGAGCAAAGCCACGUCGCUGUGACACGCGUGGGCUUCCCGGGCCGCUCCGUUCCGCGCCGCGUUUUGCGGAGCUCCGUUCGGCCGGCGGCAAAACCCGGAGCGGAUCGCAGCGGGAUGGAGCGGGGCGGGGGGGGGGCUGUGGGGGUACCCCAUAAAGCUGCCGGCCCGCAGUGUGAGGUGUGGUGUCACGAGUGGGAACAGAGAGCUGGGGGAGGGCGACAGAACGGGGGGGGCACCGGGAGGGGGUCGGAUGUCACGUGGCUGAGGGGUGAUGGUGGGGGGGUGGGGGGGCGGCAGCGCCGCACGUGGGCUCAGAGCUGCAGCCACGCGUGUCCGUGUUUGUGCCCCAUCAAUGUCCGAAUGCGGGCAGCCACACCGCCGGCCCCCGAUCCAUCCCAUAACCCCCCCUCUCCCCCCCGUAUCCUCACGGCACCCACGCGUGUCCACACCCCCACGUGCCCCCCACCUGUGUCCCAUCCUCACGUGUGGGUACCCACGCAGGACAGCCCCCCCGCAUCCCACUGCCCACCCCGACCCCAGCCCUAAUCCUAAAUCCCAACCCCCACCCCGACCCCCUCUGCACCCUGACCCCCCCGCAUCCCUCUGCCCACACCACGCGUGGGGGGCAGCCAGGCCGCACAUCGCCCACUGGUGUCCCCCUCCCCGCCCCCCCCCAGAAGCAGACACGGACGCUGCGUGGAGUUGAAGCAGAGCUUUGUUUA
rnacentral:lncRNA from 1 species